rnacentral:rRNA from 1 species
GAUGAAUGCUGGCGGCGUGCCUAACACAUGCAAGUCGAGCGGCAGCGCGGUCUUCGGACUGGCGGCGAGCGGCGGACGGCUGAGUAACGCGUGGGAACGUACCCCAAAGUGAGGAAUAACUGCCCGAAAGGGUAGCUAAUGCCGCAUAUGGUCUUCGGAUUAAAGGAUUUAUCCGCUUUGGGAACGGCCUGCGUACGAUUAGAUUGUUGGUGAGGUAAUGGCUCACCAAGUCGACGAUCGUUAACUGGUCUGAGAGGAUGAUCAGUCAGACUGGAACUGAGACACGGUCCAGACUCCUACGGGAGGCAGCAGUGAGGAAUCUUCCACAAUGGGCGAAAGCCUGAUGGAGCAACGCCGCGUGCAGGAUGAAGGCCUUCGGGUCGUAAACUGCUUUUAUAAGUGAAGAAUAUGACGGUAACUUAUGAAUAAGCACCGGCUAACUACGUGCCAGCCGCCGCCGUA